rnacentral:rRNA from 1 species
AUUGAACGCUGGCGGCAGGCCUAACACAUGCAAGUCGAACGAGUGGCGGACGGGUGAGAAAUGUAUGUGAAAAUGCCCGAUGGAGGGGGAUAAAUACUGGAAACGGUAGAUAAUAACGCAUACCAUCGGAUGUGCGCAGAUGGGAUUAGCUUGUAGGUGGGGUAAAGGCUCACCUAGGCGACGAUCCCUAUCUGGUCUGAGAGGAUGACCAGCCACACUGGAACUGAGACACGGUCCAGACUCCUACGGUAGGCAGCAGUGGGGAAUAUUGCACAAUGGGCGCAAGCCUGAUGCAGCCAUGCGGCGUGUAUGAAGAAGGCCUUCGGGUUGUAAAGUACUUUCAGCGGGGAGGCGUUACCCGCAGAAGAAGCACCGGCUAACUCCGUGCCAGCAGCCGCGGUAAUUC